GGGGAAAUAGCUCAGUUGGUUAGAGUGCUGGUCUGUCACGCCAGAAGUUGCGGGUUCGAACCCCGUGUUCCCCG
rnacentral:tRNA from 1 species